UAGGGAAUCUUCCGCAAUGGACGAAAGUCUGACGGAGCAACGCCGCGUGAGUGAAGAAGGAUUUCGGUUCGUAAAACUCUGUUGUUAGGGAAGAAAAAAUGUAUAGUAACUAUAUACAAAAGAGACGUUACCUAACCAGAAAGCCACGGCUAACUACGUGCCAGCAGCCGCGGUAAUACGUAGGUGGCAAGCGUUGUCCGGAAUUAUUGGGCGUAAAGCGCGCGCAGGUGGUUUAGAAAGUCUGAUGUGAAAGCCCACGGCUCAACCGUGGAGGGUCAUUGGAAACUAAUAAACUUGAGUGCAGGAGAGAAAAGUGGAAUUCCUAGUGUAGCGGUGAAAUGCGUAGAGAUUAGGAGGAACACCGGUGGCGAAAGCGGCUUUUUGGCCUGCAACUGACACUGAGGCGCGAAAGCGUGGGGAGCAAACAGG
rnacentral:rRNA from 1 species